rnacentral:rRNA from 1 species
GACAACGCUGGCGGCGUGCUUAACACAUGCAAGUCGAACGAUGAAGCCGGAGCUUGCUCUGGUGAAUUAGUGGCGAACGGGUGAGUAACACGUGAGUAACCUGCACUUGACUCUGGGAUAACUGCUAGAAAUGGUAGCUAAUACCGGAUACGACUCUCGGAGGCAUCUCCAGGGUGUGGAAAGAAUUUCGGUUGAGGAUGUACUCGCGGCCUAUCAGCUAGUUGGUGAGGUAACGGCUCACCAAGGCUACGACGGGUAGCAGGCCUGAGAGGGGGACCGGCCACACUGGGACUGAGACACUGAUCAGACUCCUACGGGAGGCAGCAGUGGGGAAUCUUGAUGACUUGGCGCAAGCCUGCUGCGUCACCGCCGCGUGAGGGAUGACGGCCUUCGGGUUGUAAACCUCUUUUAGUAGGGAAGAAGCGAAAGUGACGGUACCUGCAGAAAAAGCACCGGCUACCUACGUGCCAGCCGCCGCGGUAA